CAUAUUAAUCAUUAAUUUUGGCCCAAACUAUUUAGAAGGCCCAUGUCUAUUUUUAUCUUUUAGUUCAGAUACACUAUAAGUAUUGGUUUUUGUUUUGAAUAAAAAAAACUUUUGGCAUUUUCAGAAAAUUUGGUGAGAGUUUCUCUCUGGGUUCCUUGUUGAACCAAUUAUCAAACUUAUCAAGGUAAUCCUUGUGGCGUCUACCCUGACUUAUCUUCCUUCACCGGAAGUGGUGUCGAUCCUGACUUAUCUUCCUUCACCGGAAGUGGUGUCGAUCCUGACUUAUCUUCCUUCACCGGAAGUGGUGUCGAUCCUGACUUAUCUUCCUUCACCGGAAGUGGUGUCGAUCCUGACUUAUCUUCCUUCACCGGAAGUGGCGUCUACCCUGACUUAUCUUCCUUCACCGGAAGUGGCGUCUACCCUGACUUAUUUUCCUUCACCGGAAGUGGCGUCAUCAAAACCUUCGUAGCCUGUAUCAAACAAUCCGCUCCUACUCAGGUUCACAUCAUUAGUGAUCCGACGAUGCUAAGUGGAAGGAUUGUCGCUCAACGAGUAAAAGUUACUCUAGGGAUAAUAGGCUGAUCUUCCCUAAAGCUCACAUUGACGAGAAGGUUUGACACUUCGAUGUCAGCUCUUCGCCACCUUGGACUGUAGUAUGUUCCAAGGGUUUAGAACGUUGUGAGACAAAUGGGUCCAUAUCUGGUGUGGGCAUUAGAGCAUUAAGAGGACAUUUUCCUAGUACGAGAAAAUUGGGAAGGACUCACCUUCGGUGUGCUAGUUAUCGUGCCCACGGUAAACGUUGGGUUGCCAAGUGUGGAGUAGAUAAUCGCUGAAAGCAUCUAAGUAGUAACCUAAGAUGAGUGCUCUCCUAUAUUGACUUCCCCAAAGCCUUCGGUAGCACAGUUGAGAUAAUGAUGGGUUCUCUGCCUCAAUAGGAAUGGAAAAAAUUUGAGAAUUCAAGAGAAGGUCACAAUGAGAUGAGUUGUUUCUAAUUAAUGAUAGGUGUCAAAUAGAAAUGCAAUUAUGUAUGUAGCUGAGACAUCAUAAUAAACCGGUAGACUUGAACCU
rnacentral:ncRNA from 1 species